GAUUUUAAAAGAGAAGGAAAGAAGAGCUAGUUGCUCGCUGCAGGUUCUCCUGGCUCGGCGGCGCGGAGGCAAAGGCCUGUUUCUGCAAAGACUUUGUGAGGCCCCAUGACUCUUCCUCAACCUCCCGACCGCUGGAGGUCCCUGAUAGUUGAAUAAGCUAAGUGCAAUGUGCCCGCCCAGUUCUUUCCUGGAAGAUGAAACACAGCUCCCUGAGUCAGGAGACAGAAGAAUGGAUAAACAUUCCUCAAUUGCUGUUGAUAGGUUCUCACCCCAGAACCCAGGCAGUCGGCCUCAUGCUCCAGAGUGCAGGUCCCAUAAGGCGGCUACGAUUUUGUUCUGUCUCCACUCUGGGGAGUUGGAAGGCUGGAGCACGGACGAGCCAUCUCUCCCCCUACCUCCUGACCCAAGGGGAGCCGUCAAUUAGAGCCGUGCUUGAGCCUAAGGCUGACCUGAACCGUUUGAAGGCAGAUCUUCCAUGGAGUGCCCCGGUCCUUUUCUGGAAAGGUCAAAGGGAUGAGAGGGGUCUCUGCAGUGUCCUGGAUCUGGUUUCAACCUCACCUUCUCCAUGUAUGAGAAGACAAGUCACUUGGAUUCACCAUGCCUCGGUUUCCCCAGAUGGCAAGCAGGACUCAGCCUUUUGUACCUGGUCCAUCAGAGGACGAGCUUUCACGUGUUAGCCAACACCUCCGUCAUCACCAUCAUUGCCAUGAUCAUCGUCCUCAUCACCUUGACACGCUGAGCUUUGUAGCUUAAAAACAAAAUGCCUUUAACAAUGUGCAACAGGUCUAAGAUGCCACCUUUGGGAUCAGAUGGGAGUUUGGGAUUAUUUCUAUUUUCCAAUUGUUCAGCCCCCUCCCACUAAGUGCGAAGCGGAGAGCCAUUAAGUUGCAAUGGAUUUGAUUCACCACGUGGCCCCUCAAAUCCUUUCUGGAACAAGAUUGGAUGUAAAAAUAAAUCAAAUAAAUGCAUUUUCAGCGUGUGCAGCCCAGCCCAGA
rnacentral:lncRNA from 1 species